UACAGAGGGGGCAAGCGUUAUUCGGAAUUAUUGGGCGUAAAGGGCGCGUAGGCGGCCUGACAAGUGGAAGGUGAAAUCCCUCGGCUCAACUGAGGAACUGCCCUCCAACUGUUGGUCUUGAGACCGGGAGAGGUGAGUGGAAUUCCCAGUGUAGCGGUGAAAUGCGUAGAUAUUGGGAGGAACACCAGUGGCGAAGGCGGCUCACUGGACCGGAACUGACGCUGAGGCGCGAAAGCGUGGGGAGCGAACAGG
rnacentral:rRNA from 1 species